AACGAACGUUAGCGGCGCGCCUAACACAUGCAAGUCGCACGAGAAAGGGCUUCGGCCCCGGUAAAGUGGCGCACGGGUGAGUAACACGUGGGUAACCUGCCCUCGAGCGGGGGAUAACAUUCCGAAAGGAGUGCUAAUACCGCAUAAGACCACGACCUCGAAAGAGGAUGGGGUAAAAGCUGGCCUCUGUACACAAGCUAGCACUUAAGGAUGGGCCCGCGGCGCAUCAGCUAGUUGGUGGGGUAAUGGCCCACCAAGGCUAAGACGCGUAGCUGGUCUGAGGGGAUGAUCAGCCACACUGGAACUGAGACACGGUCCAGACUCCUACGGGAGGCAGCAGUGGGGAAUCUUGCGCAGUGGGCGAAAGCCUGACGCAGCGACGCCGCGUGAGUGAUGAAGGCCUUCGGGUUGUAAAGCUCUGUCGUAGGGGAAGAACCGGUGGACGGCUAAUACCCGUCUGCCCUGACGGUACCCUACAAGAAAGCACCGGCUAACUCCGUGCCAGCCGCCGCCGUAAUAC
rnacentral:rRNA from 1 species